CAAACGUACCCUCAGCAAUCCGUUUCAUUUCCAUUAUUUCGAACAGUUCAGAUGUCAAAUUUAAAACUGGUAUACGCAGCCGUUCUAUUUCUUCAUGCUUUUGAAACGUGUACAUAACCGUGUUUCAAAAAUACGGAGAAUGUAUUAGUGUGAUUUAAACUAGUGAAAAUCCAAAAUAAAAUAAUCUGAAAAAAUGGCGCAGUGUGAUUCGAUACGUCGUGGGAAAAAUUUUUCGAAAUUGGUAGACCGACAGAUUUGUUUAUCGUGAAUAAAUGUCUCAAUGGAUGCCACAAAAGGCACCGACCAAAAUAUAGUGACAUUUUGGAAAUCUAUCCACCAGCAUUGUGUGUUCCACAAUUCAUUAUUGAACACAAGAACACCUGAAGCGACUCGACAAAAGUUCGGCAUUAUAAGUCGCAAUGUAUCUAAAUUUAUAAGUGUUUUGAAGUCCGUAGACCGCUUGAAUGAAAUUUAGAGGAUAGAUUGAAUAAAUCGCUUGUUUUGUUCAAAAAGGAGCAACAGGAGGAAUUCAAAUUUUUAGAAUGUUGGGAAAUUCUAAAACACUAUCCUAAAUUUAGAGAAGAUAUUCCUGGAGACUGCUCAAAGGAGCAAAAACAAGGUAAUAUUGCGCCGUCGUCGCUUCCUUCUGAACGUCCUUCGGGACAAAAGCAGGCCAAAAUAAGACAAUCUUUAUUAUAUAGAGACGACCUAGAUUUGAGAAGAAUUCAAGCCUUAGAAAACUUAGCCAAGGUUACCAGUGUGAGAAAUGAAAUUAUUCGAAAGCAAAUAGAAUAAAAAUUAAGACAACACCUUUGGAUGGAUUGGACAAGUUGUCCAAAAAGUUUAUCAGAUUGGAGAAGGAGAAGCUGCUAGAAGAAAUGAGUACUCAAUGCACGAUAUCAGAAAGCAAGAAAUGGAAUGAUGGGGAGUCCUCGGAAUCUAUCAUAAAUGAAUCGACAAUAUUCGUUCCGACGAAGAAUGAGAAUGCAAAUGAACUCUAUCCUGUAUUAGACACAGAUUUACCGAUAAUAUCUGAUGGCAGCGACCUGCAAGAAAAUUGUCUGGAGUAAUUUUUUUAAACAAUUAUAAA